GACGAACGCUGGCGGCGUGCCUAAUACAUGCAAGUCGAACGAACCGCGACUAGGUGCUUGCACUUGGUCAAGGUGAGUGGCGAACGGGUGAGUAACACGUGGGUAACCUACCUCAUAGUGGGGGAUAACAGUCGGAAACGACUGCUAAUACCGCAUAGGACAUAGGAUCACAUGAUCCAGUGAGUAAAGGUGGCGCAAGCUAUCGCUAAGAGAUGGACCCGCGGUGCAUUAGCUAGUUGGUAGGGUAAAGGCCUACCAAGGCGAUGAUGCAUAGCCGACCUGAGAGGGUGAUCGGCCACAUUGGGACUGAGACACGGCCCAAACUCCUACGGGAGGCAGCAGUAGGGAAUCUUACGCAAUGGACGCAAGUCUGACGGAGCAACGCCGCGUGAGUGAAGAAGGUCUUCGGAUCGUAAAGCUCUGUUGUUAGAGAAGAACAGCGCAUAGAGUAACUGUUAUGCGUGUGACGGUAUCUAACCAGAAAGCCACGGCUAACUACGUG
rnacentral:rRNA from 1 species